UACGAAGGGGGCAAGCGUUGUUCGGAUUUACUGGGCGUAAAGCGUACGUAGGCGGAUGAUUAAGUCAGGGGUGAAAUCCCGGGGCUCAACCUCGGAACUGCCUUUGAUACUGGUCAUCUUGAGUCCGGGAGAGGUGAGUGGAACUCCUAGUGUAGAGGUGAAAUUCGUAGAUAUUAGGAAGGACACCAGUGGCGAAGGCGGCUCACUGGCCCGGAACUGACGCUGAGGUACGAAAGCGUGGGGAGCAAACAGG
rnacentral:rRNA from 1 species